GACUUUUGGUCUUCUUUUGAUUUUUUUUAUUUUUCUUCUCCGGAGACUGAGUUUUUACUUGUCUCCUUCCUUUUUUUGAGAGUUUAAUUUUUUUAUUUUCCUCAUAUUUUCAAGUUUCAACAAUGUAUCCCGAAAUCAACGGAAACCGUAUAAUCAUGCAUUAAAUUCAAUUUAGUAUCUUAACUAACUCUGAAACUCGACCGAGUUACAUG
rnacentral:lncRNA from 1 species